rnacentral:rRNA from 1 species
GACAGGGGGUGCAAACGUUGCUCGGAAUUAUUGGGCGUAAAGCGCGCGUAGGCGGCUACUUAAGUCGGAUGUGAAAGCCCUCGGCUUAACUGAGGAAGUGCACCCGAAACUGAGUAGCUAGAGUACGAAAGAGGGUCGCGGAAUUCCCGGUGUAGAGGUGAAAUUCGUAGAUAUCGGGAGGAACACCGGUGGCGAAGGCGGCGACCUGGGUCGAGACUGACGCUGAGGCGCGAAAGCGUGGGGAGCAAACAGG